CCUACGGGUGGCAGCAGUGAGGAAUAUUGGUCAAUGGGCGGAAGCCUGAUGGAGCAACGCCGCGUGGGUGAAGAAGGUCUUCGGAUCGUAAAACCCUGUUGUUAGAGAAGAAAGUGCGUGAGAGUAACUGUUCACGUUUCGACGGUAUCUAACCAGAAAGCCACGGCUAACUACGUGCCAGCAGCCGCGGUAAUACGUAGGUGGCAAGCGUUAUCCGGAUUGAUUGGGCGUAAAGGGAACGCAGGCGGUCUUUUAAGUCUGAUGUGAAAGCCUUCGGCUUAACCGGAGUAGUGCAUUGGAAACUGGGAGACGUGAGUGCAGAAGAGGAGAGUGGAACUCCAUGUGUAGCGGUGAAAUGCGUAGAUAUAUGGAAGAACACCAGUGGCGAAAGCGGCUCUCUGGUCUGUAACUGACGCUGAGGUUCGAAAGCGUGGGUAGCAAACAGGAUUAGAUACCCUAGUAGUC
rnacentral:rRNA from 1 species